UCCGAGUUGUCCCCGGCAGUCUCCCUAGAGUUCCCAUCCGAAAUGCUGGCAACACAGGACAAGGGUUGCGCUCGUUGCGGGACUUAAGCCAACACCUCACGGCACGAGCUGACGACAGCCAUGCAGCACCUGUGCUAGCCCCUUACGGACACGCGCUUUCACGCGCUUUAACUAGCAUGUCAAGCCCAGGUAAGGUUCUUCGCGUUGCGUCGAAUUAAACCACAUGCUCCACCGCUUGUGCGGGCCCCCGUCAAUUCCUUUGAGUUUCAGUCUUGCGACCGUACUCCCCAGGCGGAGUGCUUAAUGUGUUGACUUCGGCACAGCAGGGGUCGAUACCCGCUACACCAAGCACUCAUCGUUUACGGCGUGGACUAC
rnacentral:misc_RNA from 1 species